UUUUCCGUGUUAAAACUUGUUAAGACAAGGAACUUUGCGGAAUUACCAUUUUUGCCUGACCGUUCAUCCACGCAGCAAUGGCGUAAGACGUAUUGAACCAUCAGGCAGUUAGCGGGCUGCGGGUUGCAGUCCUUACCGGUAAGAUGGAAGCUUCUCUGGCGAAACAUUCCCAGGCAGUUCCCCUGAUAAUUGCGCUGUAUUUCCAGAUGAAAUACAGGCUACCGACACUCCGCGCCUCUUAAGCGAACGACAACCGUGAGGUUGGCGACGUGAACAGUCACGAGGCCAUCGGUUCAUACCCGGAAAGGCGUUAUCUUGCCCGCAGCUUAGUCGUCAA
rfam:Escherichia hermannii NBRC 105704 DNA, contig: EH10570403.